GGAAGGUGCCAUGGCUCAGUGGCAGAGCAUCUAAUUUGCAUGCAGAAGGCCUCAGGUUCGAUCCCCGGCCUUUCCA